CCUAUGGGGGGCAGCAGUCGCGAAAACUUUGCAAUACACGAAAGUGUGACAGGGUCAUCCCGAGUGCCGACCGCUGAGGUUGGCUUUUACCCAGUCUAGAAAGCUGGGGGAAUAAGGAGAGGGCAAGUCUGGUGUCAGCCGCCGCGGUAAUACCAGCUCUCCGAGUGGUGUGGACGUUUAUUGGGCCUAAAGCAUCCGUAGCUGGCUGAACAAGUCCCCUGUUAAACCCACCGAUUUAAUCGUUGGUGUGCGGGGGAUACUGCUCGGCUAGGGGACGAGAGAGGCAGACGGUAUUCCCGGGGUAGGGGUGAAAUCCUAUAAUCCCGGGAAGACCACCAGUGGCGAAGGCUGUCUGCUAGAACGCGCCCGACGGUGAGGGAUGAAAGCUGGGGGAGCGAACCGGAUUAGAUACCCGCGUAGUCC
rnacentral:rRNA from 1 species